GAUGAACGCUGGCGGCGUGCCUAACACAUGCAAGUCGAGCGAAGCACCUUACUUGAUUUCUUCGGGAUGAAAGUAUUGUGACUGAGCGGCGGACGGGUGGGUAACGCGUGGAUAACCUGCCUCAUACAGGGGGAUAACAGUUAGAAAUGACUGCUAAUACCGCAUAAGACCACAGCACCGCAUGGUGCGGUGUGAAAAACUCCGGUGGUAUAAGAUGGACCCGCGUCUGAUUAGCUGGUUGGUGGGGUAACGGCCCACCAAGGCGACGAUCAGUAGCCGGCCUGAGAGGGUGAACGGCCACAUUGGGACUGAGACACGGCCCAG
rnacentral:rRNA from 1 species